CGGGGCGUAGCGCAGCCCGGUAGCGCACUCGCUUGGGGUGCGAGGGGUCGUGGGUUUAAAUCCCGCCGCCCCGACCA
rnacentral:tRNA from 1 species